GAUGAACGCUGGCGGCGUGCCUAAUACAUGCAAGUCGAGCGAACAGACGAGGAGCUUGCUCCUCUGACGUUAGCGGCGGACGGGUGAGUAACACGUGGAUAACCUACCUAUAAGACUGGGAUAACUUCGGGAAACCGGAGCUAAUACCGGAUAAUAUAUUGAACCGCAUGGUUCAAUAGUGAAAGACGGUUUUGCUGUCACUUAUAGAUGGAUCCGCGCCGCAUUAGCUAGUUGGUAAGGUAACGGCUUACCAAGGCAACGAUGCGUAGCCGACCUGAGAGAGUGAUCGGCCACACUGGAACUUAGACACGGUCCAGACUCCUACGGGAGGCAGCAGUAGGGAAUCUGCCGCAAUGGGCGGAAGCCUGACGGAGCAACGCCGCGUGAGUGAUGAAGGUCUUCGGAUCGGAAAACUCUGUUAUUAGGGAAGAACAAAUGUGUAAGUAACUAUGCACGUCUUGACGGUACCUAAUCAGAAAGCCACGGCUAACUACGUG
rnacentral:rRNA from 1 species